UACGUAGGGGGCAAGCGUUGUCCGGAUUUAUUGGGCGUAAAGCGCGUGUAGGCGGCCAUCUAAGUCGGGCGUGAAAUCCCACGGCUCAACCGUGGAAGUGCACUCGAAACUGGAUGGCUAGAGUCCUGGAGAGGAAGGUGGAAUGCUUGGUGUAGAGGUGAAAUUCGUAGAUAUCAAGCGGAACACCGGUGGCGAAGGCGGCCUUCUGGACAGUGACUGACGCUGAGACGCGAAAGCGUGGGGAGCAAACAGG
rnacentral:rRNA from 1 species